rnacentral:rRNA from 1 species
AUGNAGGGAAUAUNUGGGAUCAAUGGNACGGNNCNUUUGAAACCAGUCCAAGUAGCGUGAAAGGAAGAAGGUCCUAUGGAUUGUAAACUUCUUUUAUAUGGGAAUAAAGUGAGGNAUGCAUACCUUUUUGUAUGUACCAUAUGAAUAAGGAUCGGCUAACUCCGUGCCAGCAGCCGCGGNAAUACGGAGGAUCCGAGCGUUAUCCGGAUUUAUUGGGUUUAAAGGGAGCGUAGGUGGAUUGAUAAGUCAGUUGUGAAAGUUUGCGGCUCAACCGUAAAAUUGCAAUUGAUACUGNCAGUCUUGANUACAGUAGANGGUGGGCGGAAUUCNUGGUGUAGCGGUGAAAUGCUUAGAUAUCACGAAGAACUCCGAUUGC